GAUACCUUGGGAAGGUGCUUGUUGUUAUGGUCUGGGAUGCUGCCAGGUGGCUCUUGGUCAAGGAGGAAGAGCAGGAAGACUGGUUCCUGGCUUGCUGUGUCACCAGAUGUCCCUGAUGCUGCUCCCUGAUGAACCAGAGCUGUGGGCAAUGGAGAUGAAUCCAGCCUGGCAUAGCAGCCUGUUUGAUGCCCGUUGGGAAAUGACAAUGACUGGAUUCAGCACCCAGCAGCACCAGGGUUCAGCUGCACAGUCCUUGGUCUCUGCUUGACCAUGAGCAGUGGCAAAACCAGUAAUUAUGUAUGAGAGGGGGAGAUGCAGUGAGGACCUGCUGAACUGAUGGGGUUGAUGUUCCAGGAGCUCCACAAUACGGAGAGGUGACGGGGAGAUGAGAAAGCCAACACCAUAGUCCUGCUUUUCAAAUAUUGAGCUGCAAGCCUAAAAUCCGAACACUUGGGCUAAGGCAAACCUUACCAGUUCCACUGUGAAUCCUAGCAGUGAGGCUUUCUGCCGUUCGUUUCAUCUUCCUUCCAUUGAAACAGCAAUGCAUCUCAUGGUUGGUCAGCUUUGGAGCAAAUGGCUUUCCUUAAUGGGAAGUCACUAAGCAGCUGGGGACGUCUUCUGCUCCUCUGAUGACAGCAGGACCAUUACCUUCGUUUUGCUGCAAUCAGUUACUCCACUUCAAAGUGGCUGGAAACAUCAGCGUCCUGCGUUGGCAUUGCCUUGCAGACACUUUGCAUUGAUAUGGAUGGCCCCACAACUGUGAACUGAUGUGUAGGUGAGGCUGUUAAAAUAAUUUAGCGUAAGCUAGUAAGUAGAAUGAAGUGUUCUAGAAUAGCUCUUCCGGAAUAGCUCCCUGCAAUGAACGUUCAGGUCCAGAAUAAAGAGCCACUUAAUUCUGGAAUAAUUACUCUAAUUAUUUUCAAUGACUCCUUUCUCAAAUUUUGUGAAGUGUCUAAAAAUGGUGUGUGUCCCUGUCACCCCGAUGAGAUCACACUGCUUCACAAAAUUCAGAGUAGAUGAAGUUACAGACUCCCCCAGGCAGCCUGGUUAUUUUUUAAUCCAUUUACAGUGUUUUGAUUCCAUGGUGAUAAGGCCUUUAUAAAUGCUAAUUGAUAAAUGAGAUAGAGUUUAUAUUGUCUCAUACAGGGCAGAAAUAGUCAAAUGCAUACAAAACUGCUAUUAUUAAACAACAAGGCAAGACUUUCUGUUCUGAAGCUGAUGCAGUG
rnacentral:lncRNA from 7 species